UGGGGAAUAUUGGACAAUGGGCGCGAGCCUGAUCCAGCAAUGCCGCGUGAGUGAUGAAGGCCUUAGGGUUGUAAAGCUCUUUCGCACGCGACGAUGAUGACGGUAGCGUGAGAAGAAGCCCCGGCUAACUUCGUGCCAGCAGCCGCGGUAAUACGAAGGGGGCUAGCGUUGUUCGGAAUUACUGGGCGUAAAGGGCGCGUAGGCGGCCUGUUUAGUCAGAAGUGAAAGCCCCGGGCUCAACCUGGGAAUAGCUUUUGAUACUGGCAGGCUUGAGUUCCGGAGAGGAUGGUGGAAUUCCCAGUGUAGAGGUGAAAUUCGUAGAUAUUGGGAAGAACACCGGUGGCGAAGGCGGCCAUCUGGACGGACACUGACGCUGAGGCGCGAAAGCGUGGGGAGCAAACAGAUUAGAUACCCUGGUAGUCCACGCCGUAAACGAUGAAUGCUAGACGUCGGGGUGCAUGCACUUCGGUGUCGCCGCUAACGCAUUAAGCAUUCCGCCUGGGGAGUACGGCCGCAAGGUUAAAAC
rnacentral:rRNA from 1 species